rnacentral:rRNA from 1 species
AGAGUUUGAUCCUGGCUCAGAACGAACGCUGGCGGCAUGCCUAACACAUGCAAGUCGAACGAGACCUUCGGGUCUAGUGGCGCACGGGUGCGUAACGCGUGGGAAUCUGCCCAAAGGUUCGGAAUAACUCGGGGAAACCCGUGCUAAUACCGGAUGAUAUCGCGAGAUCAAAGAUUUAUCGCCUUUGGAUGAGCCCGCGUAGGAUUAGCUUGUUGGUGGGGUAAAGGCCUACCAAGGCGACGAUCCUUAGCUGGUCUGAGAGGAUGAUCAGCCACACUGGGACUGAGACACGGCCCAGACUCCUACGGGAGGCAGCAGUGGGGAAUAUUGGACAAUGGGCGCAAGCCUGAUCCAGCAAUGCCGCGUGAGUGAUGAAGGCCUUAGGGUUGUAAAGCUCUUUUACCCGGGAUGAUAAUGACAGUACCGGGAGAAUAAGCUCCGGCUAACUCCGUGCCAGCAGCCGCGGUAAUACGAAGGGGGCUAGCGUUGUUCGGAAUCACUGGGCGUAAAGGGCGCGUAGGCGGCUUGAUAAGUCGGGGGUGAAAGCCUGUGGCUCAACCACAGAAUUGCCUUCGAUACUGUCUGGCUUGAGACCGGAAGAGGUAAGUGGAACUGCGAGUGUAGAGGUGAAAUUCGUAGAUAUUCGCAAGAACACCAGUGGCGAAGGCGGCUUACUGGUCCGGUUCUGNNGCUGAGGCGCGAAAGCGUGGGGAGCAAACAGGAUUAGAUACCCUAGUAGUCC